GGGGGCAAUUGGGGCAGAAAAAAUAGUUUCAAUGGUGAGUGAGCCCCACGGCAUGGAAGAAUAGCAGGGAGAGGAGAAAAUAACGUCCCAGGAAACCACAGAAUCGUAUGACUCUGUUGGAAUUCCGAGAAAAUUCUUACAAUACUGGAUUUCUCUGGAGAUGUUCUAUGAGAAAGAAGCUGUCCAUGUUCUUCUAGAGUUCUAAUCAGCAGGAAGAGGAUUCCAGAUUGUUUCACAUUGUGGCUGCCUUCAAGGAGCUUGAGCAGGGUGCUGGCAGAGAGGCAGGGAGGAGCUGGGUAGCCGUGGUGGGAUGAAGAGCUUGUUGGGGGUAGGGUCCAGGCCAUGAGCGUGUAGAGAGUAGCGAGACGUGGAAUUAAGAGAAGGCAGUACGUGUGAAUGCCCUGGGGAGGAAGAGAUCAUCCUCCGGGUGCUGUCAUCUUAAUAGACUAUGCUGUUGGUGUUGCAGUUCUGACUCUACCAACCUGAGGACUCAGACUCCCCUGCCUCUCACCUCCCUUGUCUAGCGGUGAGGAUGACUGUACCAUUUCAUAGGCGAGUUGGUUGAUGGAGAGGGUAGUGUGUCAGCUUCCUACCAUUGUGAGGAAACACCUGAGACAAUCGACUUCAAAGGAUGGAAUGAAAAGAGGAGAGGGAGAAGAGGGCUUCACAAAGCCUAACUUUUCACCAUAACCCACCCACCGUAUGAUGCCACUGCCCCUCAACAGUGGCAAAACAGCCGGCACCCACACCUGUGGCACCCAAGUCCAAGGAGCAAUGUUGAAAUCCACACUCUCGCACCGGUUAAACAGAGAACACACACUACUGAGUGCGUACUAAGCAUUGCUAUCAUCAUGGUCACACGUUUUGAGAUUUUUCUCCUUUGCUCCUAAAUAAAAUUAAAACCCUGCUGACUCUCUU